CAUAAACAACCACCCACCACUGUGAGCCGGUUUGCGCACCAUCCCAGCGGAGUAAGCAUUUCUGUGUGUUAGUAAACUCACUCGCGCACCUGAGCCUCCAUGGUUUCCAUUACGUUGCAAGCAGUUGUCGGAGAUGGAACAGAAGAGCUGCGACAAAAAUUGGGAAGACUUAAGUGACCAGUCAAAACUGCUGACUGCGCCAACCGCCGGAUGUAGCGCGUGCUGGAACCCUUGCGACGAAAUAGCCAGCAAACCCGGGUGACAGUGGGAACAAAAGGGGAGAAGCAUCACACCGACACCACCACCACCACCACCACCACCACCACUACCACAACAUCAUCAGAAGCUCAAGCAAACGAUCAUCUGCGGACUCAACCAUGGCUCUGCCGGUCGCAGUGAUAGACCUAAUGAAAAUGUUUGGCUGCGAUUUGGGAGGACUGCUGGAGAUUAUACGACGCAUUUGGUACUGCAUUGUACAAACGCUCAUUGCAGUGCUCUUGCGGAUCGUGCUCGUCAUUUUACAUGGAGGUGGCGGAGGAACAGGGUCCAACAUGGCCGGAUUGUGUCUUCCGUCGUGAAUGAAGUUGCUGCAUUUUAAUUAUUGAACAACCAGUUCAGUAGCGUUGAAUGGGCUGAAGUGUACUGUCAAUUAGGAUGAAGGAGAAAUGUCAUUGAACUAAAGGUUGCUGCAAACGGUUGUGUUCAUGCGUGUAUUUUAAAGGAUGAUGUAAUACGGCUCAUAGAUUGAGCGAAAGAAAACAAAAACUAAAGUCACCUCCUUAUCACGCACAGGGCUCAAUGCUAAGCCAAGGGUCUCUCGACGAUAACACGAAAAUUGUCGUACGAUACAUUGUGAAUCGAACCAUCCGCCUAGCAGAUAUUUGCCAUAAAGUCAAAGAACAAGCCUACUGCCCAAUGCGGUUUUCGGACGACACCCCUGGCAUUCCUGUAUUUAUCCAUAGCUCUAUAGCAAAAGUUCUAGAUAUGAAGGAACGGUAAAAUGAGAUUUAGGACUGGUCUUGUCGUAUGCAAGACGACACCGCUACUGCUUAGUCAUUGAUAGGAUGAAUUUACAAUAAAAAAGAGAGUAGCAAGAAACUA